rnacentral:rRNA from 1 species
AUUGAACGCUGGCGGCAGGCCUAACACAUGCAAGUCGAGCGGAUGAAGGGAGCUUGCUCCUGGAUUCAGCGGCGGACGGGUGAGUAAUGCCUAGGAAUCUGCCUGGUAGUGGGGGAUAACGUCCGGAAACGGGCGCUAAUACCGCAUGCGUCCUGAGGGAGAAAGUGGGGGAUCUUCGGACCUCACGCUAUCAGAUGAGCCUAGGUCGGAUUAGCUAGUUGGUGGGGUAAAGGCCUACCAAGGCGACGAUCCGUAACUGGUCUGAGAGGAUGAUCAGUCACACUGGAACUGAGACACGGUCCAGACUCCUACGGGAGGCAGCAGUGGGGAAUAUUGGACAAUGGGCGAAAGCCUGAUCCAGCCAUGCCGCAUGUGUGAAGAAGGUCUUCGGAUUGUAAAGCACUUUAAGUUGGGAGGAAGGGCAGUAAGUUAAUACCUUGCUGUUUUGACGUUACCAACAGAAUAAGCACCGGCUAACUUCGUG